GACGAACGCUGGCGGCGUGCUUAACACAUGCAAGUCGAACGAAGUGGCGAACGGGUGAGUAACGCGUAAUCAACCUGCCCUUCAGAGGGGGACAACAGUUGGAAACGACUGCUAAUACCGCAUACUGAAGGAGGGGAUUGUGUCUGAUUAGCUAGUUGGGGGGGUAACGGCCCACCAAGGUGAUGAUCAGUAGCCGGGUUGGAAGGAUGAACGGACAAAUUGGGACUUGGAAACGGCCCAGACUCCUACGGGAGGCAACAGUGGGGAAUCUUCCGAAAUGGACGAAAGUCUGAAGGAGCAACGCCGCGUGAGUGAAGACGGCCUUCGGGUUGUAAAGCUCUGUUAAGCGGGACGCGGUACCGGAAUAGAAAGCCACGGCUAACUACGUGCCAGCAGCCGCGGUAAUUC
rnacentral:rRNA from 1 species